rnacentral:rRNA from 1 species
CCUACGGGAGGCAGCAGUGGGGAAUCUUGCGCAAUGGGCGAAAGCCUGACGCAGCAACGCCGCGUGCGGGAAGAAGGCUUUCGGGCUGUAAACCGCUUUCAGCAGGAACGAAAAUGACGGUACCUGCAGAAGAAGGAGCGGCCAACUAUGUGCCAGCAGCCGCGGUGAUACAUAGGCUUCAAGCGUUGUCCGGAUUUAUUGGGCGUAAAGAGUUCGUAGGCGGUCGAGUAAGUCGGGUGUGAAAAUUCUGGGCUCAACCCAGAGACGCCACCCGAUACUGCUUGACUUGAGUUCGAUAGGGGAGUGGGGAAUUCCUAGUGUAGCGGUGAAAUGCGCAGAUAUUAGGAGGAACACCGGUGGCGAAGGCGCCACUCUGGAUCGAUACUGACGCUGAGGAACGAAAGCAUGGGUAGCAAACAGGAUUAGAUACCCUGGUAGUCCAUGCCGUAAACGGUGGGCACUAGGUGUGGGUUUCUAUUAACGAAUUCCGCGCCGUCGCUAACGCAUUAAGUGCCCCGCCUGGGGAGUACGGUCGCAAGCUAAAACGUCAAAUGAAUUGACGG